AGGAGGAGGAGGAGGCUGAGACUUGGAUGGAAGAUGGUGGUUGGACUGCAAGUGAGGUAUGAUUCUUUAGAAGAAAUCCUAAAGAGAUCCUAGAGGAAAGGAUGAGUCUUGCUGGUCCAGGGCAGCAGUGACAUAAAAAGGCUGUAUGGAGAUCACAACGUGAAUGCUGUUCCUGUUGAUUCUGUGCUCUGCUGCUGGAGCAAAACUUCACGAUAGUGAAGCAGAAUGCAAGGUUCUAUUAAAGGACUCAUUAAAUGACUUUGGAGCAGAGAUGCAAAGAAGGCAGUGUUGGAGGGGCCAGCAACCAGCACACACUGCUGCCRUACACCUCUUGGGCCGUGUCUUUGCUURCAGCACAACAUACUGUGUCUAUAUGUGAGCCUGGGCUUCCUCAUCGGCUUCUGCAGCUAUACCCUGCAGGCUGCUCUCUGGGAAUUUGUCCUAACAGUUGUAGCCAAGAACUUUGCUGCUGCUUCAGUAUCUACUAUGGUAAGGCCAAGAGUGACAAGCCUGCAUCUAAGUCAUCRAAAAAGUAGAGAUUGGACUACAGGAUUAAGGUAUCUCUAAACAUUUACUGGACACAUGUCUACCUGGCAAAUUCAGCAAUAACGUAAGGAUGUUGGGUAUCUACRUAGUAAAUAUAGAAGAAACAAGUUAAAAUAAUAUUAGCCAACUCAAGUUUCCUUAAGUUAAUGGCUAAAACAGCUUUGAGACUUGGAAAGUUCMGCCAAAAAGUCUGAAAUGUAUUUUAUGCAUCCUUGUCAUCUACAAGCAGGUAUUAAGCUAGACUAGGCUGAAAAAACAAACAUCAAAAAGACCGAAGUGAGGAGUGUGUGUGUGUUUUGCUUAGCAGUAGUUAGAAGGCAGAUAAACGGUGUGACUGACCAGUGAAGUGUGAGUGAAGAGUAGGGGUGGUYAUUUUCCAGCUGGAGCAAAAGCUGUGCCUGUGUUUCCAGGGGCACCUGGCACUUGGUGCUGGGCCAGGCAGGGGCACCUGCAAGGGGAGGGCUCCUUUCUCCCAUGCUCAGCGCUGUCCUGCUUUGCUAAUGGGCAUCGUUUCUGUGCAGGCAGCCCUGCUGGCUUCCCCUCUUCUGCCCUCGAGCCCUGCAAGAGCAGUGUCCCUGCCUGAGUGCUAGUGUGUAGGGAUGGGGUCCCAGAGCAGGAAAGGGACAACAGGGGAGGCUGGGGCCUGACUCUGAUGGAUUUGUGGCUACAGGCAUAUCCUUUGAUACUAAUCAAAUUCAUAGAUACAAAUGGACAAUUGUGAUGCAGUGUUUUGAUCAAGUGGCACGUGCAUUGAACAGCCCAUACUGGUUAAAUUAAUUUUGUCUCCUAAUUUCACUUCUUCGCACUCUGAAAGCUUUCAAAUCUCUUCCAAACACAUUUCUGUUCCCUACUGUUGCCAAGCAGCCAUUAAUUGCAACUCUACUGAAGCAAUCUGGGUGUAUGCUAACUGUUAACAGGCUAUUUUGGACCUAUCAUCUUUGAUUAUGAGGUGGCUAUCACUACAAAYAAAAUAAGCAGCCAUAUACUAUUAAGGGAUCAUCAGA